rnacentral:rRNA from 1 species
UACAGAGGUCCCAAGCGUUGUUCGGAUUCAUUGGGCGUAAAGGGUGCGUAGGCGGUGCCGCAAGUCAGAUGUGAAAUCUCGGGGCUUAACCCCGAAACUGCAUUUGAUACUGCGGUGCUCGAGGACUGGAGAGGAAACUGGAAUUCACGGUGUAGCAGUGAAAUGCGUAGAUAUCGUGAGGAAGGCCAGUGGCGAAGGCGAGUCUCUGGACAGUUCCUGACGCUGAGGCGCGAAGGCCAGGGGAGCAAACGGG